UGAGUUUUAUGUGAAAAAAAAUAUUUAAUGGCUAAUAUUAGGAGAACCAGGUCAAAUUUAGUGAUCUGCAGAGCCUCACUAGAGACCCUAACGUGUCAAAUGGUGAUUGGUCAUUGGGUUUUUGUUUUUAUUUUGUUUUUUAUUGAAACCCUCUACAUGUUUUAGAGUCUUUGCAUAAGAGAAUUCAUUUUGUCCGAUAUCUC
rnacentral:lncRNA from 1 species